rnacentral:lncRNA from 1 species
AAUAGUUUAUAUUCAAAAGUCUGAUCUCUAAACAAUCCUGAAAGUUGGUAAUUACCAAUGAACCCUGAUCUCGUGUAAUUAUAUCACCAGCCCAAGGUCCAUAGCUAUCAAAUAUUGUGUUGAGAAUGGCAGUGCCACGAGAAGCUGUCAAAAUUGCAUUACGCAAUCCAAGAAGGCCACGGGUGGGAAUCUUAUAUUUAAGCAGGUUUGUUCCCUCCGACCUAAGCACAAAAGAAGGUCCAUAACAUCAAUGUCAGAUAACCAAAGUGCAUAUUAGUGAAACACAAAAACUGACUUUAUAGCUUAUUCACACACUGAUAAUGUGAGAAAAAUUGCAUCAUGCUAAUUAAAUGUAGAAUACUUCCUAGGAAAGCGAGGGAAAAAAAAACCAACACUGCAGAAUUUCAUUAUUCAAGAUACAUGAAUUCAAUAAUCAUGCUGACAACUUAAGAGAGAGAUUUCCAUGCUUGUGCUUGUCUUGAUAAGUGAUAGUGUAUAAAAUAGUUGUUGUGUAUUAGUAGAUCCUUAGGACUGGCAGGGUUGGCUAGUAGAAAUACAGAAACACCAAUGCUAUGAACUAUUAUAUAUAUAAAAAAUCAGUAAUCUAGACUUGCCCCGAAUAAUUAAUUCGUUGAUUAUUCCAAAUGCAAUGAAUUGGCAUCACAGGAAAUCUCCAAAUCAGUGACUAGGUGGUAGCAAUUGGUUGCUUACAGACCUUUCUGUGUUUUAUCCUCCCCGUAAGAGAAAAAAGUAUUUUUAAAAAUAAAAAAAUAAUUUUCAUUACAUUUGUUUCUGUGGCCUACCUGCUCUUCUAAAAAAGCUUGAUAUGUUUUUCAAAUUAUUUUUUUUAAAAUAUUUUUAGGUUAUUUUAAUGUAUUAAUAUAUAAAAUAAAAAAAUUAUUUUGAUGAAUUUUCAAAUAAAAAAAUAUUUAAAAAAAAAACCUAGAAUGAAAAAAAUAUAUAUUUGUUCUAAUAUGUUGUACUUGGAGUACAAGGCAGGAACAGAACCUGCCUUUUCCCAAUUUUUUUUUUUUCCAUAAUGCAUCACCAUCACUGUUGCAUGCAUGCUAGAUAAUAAUGUUAGUUUUUUUUUUUUUUCAAAUACCACCAAAUUAAUCCCUCAUUUUCUUACAUACGAUCUCAUAUUCCAAAUUAGGGAGUAAAGAAAUUGAUUUUUUUAAAAAAGUAUUGUUUUAUCGAAUAUUUUUAAAAUAAUGACACCAAAUCCCUCAAUUUGUUUCGACAUCUGCCGUGGCUGCAUAUAGUUUGACAAUUAAUUAACCAGGCUGAAGAAAGAUGCCAGACGCAGGAUUCAUGAACCCAGGUAAUGAACGACGACGGUCUACCUGUAUUGUUUUUCUAGAAACAAAAGAGAAGAAAAUAAUAAUAAUUUUAAUGUUAGUUGAAUCCGCUUCUUAACAGUAAAGUCUACGGCUGUCAUCAAUCACCUCGUACUAAUUAUACUAAUCAAAUCCCUAAGAACACGACCCUCCUCGAUCCUGUUGGCUUAAAUUAUCACCAGCCAGGUCAAAGAAUGGUAUCUGAAGAAGCUUCCAUUUUGUUUCUUCUCCCCUGUUCACCUAGGUAGCUACACGUGGCAGGAGUGCUUGGGGCCCAAUUCAAGACAAAUGGCGUCCAAGAGAAUUAGAGGGCCAGAGAUGGCGAUGAAGGGAAAGUCCGGUCAGGAGAAUUAUAUGUUUUCUUUACUAUUGUGAUGGGAGUCGAGGGGGGAAAAUUGAAAUAGAAAGUAACUAGAUUGGUGGUCAAUGCUGCGGCGCUUCUGGUUAGGAUAAAAUAAUUGUUUUUUUAUUUUUAGUUUAACGUGGGUGUCCGGACCAGUUUGCGCGCACCUCGACUAAUCUCACGGGCCUGAAGUUAACGACCAUGUAAGCCUCCGGUGGCCAUCAUAUGAGCAACCACAAGGCUCGAACCUAAGACCACAGAGGAAGCAAACCUCUUGGUCCCAAGUUUUUAUCAUUGGACCACCACCUAGAUGGUUGGAUAAAAUAAUUUUUAAUAUUAAAAACUAGUAAGGCAAUGUUAGCGUGUAUUUUAAAAGAAAACAAAUAUGCAAUUUGAGUUAUGAAUCAGAAUGUAUUUGAUGAGUUCACUUUAUCUAAUUAAAUGAUAAAAUAAACCGAAUUAAAAAAAAAUAAUCAUGAUGAUGUUCAUCAAAAACACAUAAUAAUAUUUUGAAAAAGAUUUUUAUAACCCCAAGUAAAAAUGACACAAGUAAAUAACUUGUUAAACAUGUGAUUGAUUUCAUGAUGCCUCAAUUCCCAAACAAACCACUAUUAAAGGAUAAAAUUAAUAAAAAAUAAAAAAAUUACUAGAGCAUCCUAGCUUGCUUGCCAAACCCAUAACUCGGCUAGCGAGACCAAAAUAACUCAAUUAAAAAUAAAUUAAAAAAUAAUAAUAGUUAAAUUCCAAUCAACACAAUGUAAAAAGAUGAAAUAGAAAAAAAAUUUAAUAAAAAGAAAAAAGAAAAAAUAACCCAAGUAAACCUAGAUGAACCCACUAAACAUAUAACUCGGAUCAUAAGACCAGGAUAGUUCAAUUCUACCAAUCUAAUAUUAAAAAAUAAAAUUAAAAUAAAUAAUUUUUACUAAAAAAAAUAGCAGUGAAAAUAAUCAUGGGCAAAUUUGACUUCAAAACAAAUUAAAUCUCCACUUGGAUAUUUCGAAGAGAGCUAAGAGUGGAAGUCGGGGAAGAAGAGAAAAAGAAAGGAAAUGGCUUGAUUUUUUUAAUUUAAUUUCUAUUUGUCAUUAAUCAUUAAUAACUUUUUUUUAUUUACAUAAAUAAUUCUUGAUUUAUUUAAUUAGAUACAUCCAUUCAUAAAUUUUUAGAUUUAUAUUUUGAAAAUCUUUUCAUGACAAAAAAAAAAAAAUGUUGAAAAGGCAUAUUCAAUUUUUUUUACUAGUAAAAGAUGUAUCUAGCCCGCGAACGGAGCUUGAAUCAAAUGACUAGCAUUAUGCUAAAACAUGUAUCAUCUUCGACCCCUUCCAGAGAGGGAGAGACAUGAUCCAAAUUACAAUGUCAAUGACAACCUUCACGUGCUCAUUUCCUAGCAGUAUAACUUACAUCUAGAAAUCUUCUAGACUAGAAUAAUGGGAUGUCCCAUGUAGUUAUAUACAACCAUAUAUCAGGAAACAAAAUCUCUAUAAAAUUGCCAUGCGAAGGGAGCUUUAAAUACUUUUACGAGAGAGCAGAAAAAAAAUGGCAUCAAAGGCUGAACUCAACUAUGGAAUUGUGCGGCUUCUAUUGUAUUCGCAUUAGUUCACAAGGAUGCUCUGCUGGCGGAUCCACUUGAUGUAAGUCUACACUGCUCACCUUGUCUUUUUUGCAAGCUUUGGAUUUUUGCACAUUCGAAUGCUUGAGGGAGUAACCUCCACUAGUUCAUCUUCUUGGAUAUACUCAAUACAGUCAUCCAGACUAUAAUCCAAAGGGGUAUCAAGAACCACUGCAUUAAAAAGAUGAACACGUAUCGUUUACUACAAGGCACUGCGGUAGAUAUCUGCAUAUAUGCGUGUGUGUGUGUUUGUGCGUGCACGUGUGUAGAGAGAGAGAGAGAGAGGAGGGCCGGUUGGGUGGACAUGACUUGCAGAAUGAGUUCCAGCAUGAUUCUAUCGCUAUGUAAACAUGGGGCAGGCAGGUUGCACGAAGGUAACGAGACAAAGAUAUUAAUUCUUGACACCUUAAUCACUUCCUGUGGUAUUCAAGUUUACAACUUUAGCUUAGGCUAUAUGCAAGGGAAUGCAUGGGAUCAUCUAGAGUAGUUUCCUUCCUUUUUUAUUUUGACUAAAAAAUAUUUCUUUCCCUGGUGUCUCUCCUAGUGAUCAGCUCAAUAAAAGAUCCAUUUUCUGGAGAAUAUAUGAUGAUAUCGCAACUCUCUAUAUACUGUUUAAAUGGGAAAUGGGGGAUUUGUAAGGCAGUUAAAAUUGCUAUGAUCUAAACCCCACAGCUAUUUGUAAUGUGCAUUCAUUUAGUAAUACCUAAAAGUGGUUAUUAAAGCAAUAAAGUGGAGCUGUCUCUUACCUGUUUGUUCUUUAUUUGAACGUACGUUAGUAGCAGCCUUUUUCUUGCACACAUUAAGCGACAGGUCCCCUGUUCGUUGAUGGAUGCCAACUAUUUGACCUUUAUAAACUCCUGCUCCAGGUCUAAUGAACAUUUGCCCUCUAUCUUGUGAACUGGCAAGGGCAUAAGAAGUAGAUGCUCCAUCCUCAAAGGCAACCUUAAAAUCAAUUUCUUGCCAUAAAUAAAAUGAAAAUAGAUAUACAAAUGUGUAAAGAUGCAGGCAUUUUUGGUUGAGUCGCUGGACAUUACUUUAUCUCGAGAUAUUUUAGAUAUGUCAAUUGUUUAUCCAAAAUAUAAUGAAUAGUUUAUAUUCAAAAGUCUGAUCUCUAAACAAUCCUGAAAGUUGGUAAUUACCAAUGAACCCUGAUCUCGUGUAAUUAUAUCACCAGCCCAAGGUCCAUAGCUAUCAAAUAUUGUGUUGAGAAUGGCAGUGCCACGAGAAGCUGUCAAAAUUGCAUUACGCAAUCCAAGAAGGCCACGUGUGGGAAUCUUAUAUUUAAGCAGGGUUGUUCCCUCCGACCUAAGCACAAAAGAAGUCCAUAACAUCAGUGUCAGAUAACCAAAGUGCAUAUUAAUGAAAAACAAAAACUGACUUUAUAGCUUAUUCACACACUGGUAAUGUGAGAAAAAUUGCAUCAUGCUAAUUAAAUGUACAAUACUUCCUAGGAAAGCGAGGGAAAAAAAAACCAACACUACAGAAUUUCAUUAUUCAAGAUACAUGAAUUCAAUAAUCAUGCUGACAACUUAAGAGAGAGAUUUCCAUGCUUGUGCUUGUCUUGAUAAGUGAUGGUG